rnacentral:rRNA from 1 species
AGAGCGAACGCUGGCGGCAGGCCUAAUACAUGCAAGUCGAACGGAUCCUUCGGGAUUAGUGGCGGACGGGUGAGUAACACGUGGGAACGUGCCCUUUGGUUCAGAACAACUCAGGGAAACUUGAGCUAAUACUGGAUAAGCCCUUCGGGGGAAAGAUUUAUCGCCAUUGGAGCGGCCCGCGUCUGAUUAGCUAGUUGGUAGGGUAAAGGCCUACCAAGGCUUCGAUCAGUAGCUGGUCUGAGAGGAUGAUCAGCCACACUGGGACUGAGACACGGCCCAGACUCCUACGGGAGGCAGCAGUAGGGAAUCUUGCGCAAUGGGCGAAAGCCUGACGCAGCCAUGCCGCGUGAAUGAUGAAGGUCUUAGGAUUGUAAAAUUCUUUCAGCGGGGACGAUAAUGACGGUACCCGCAGAAGAAGCCCCGGCUAACUUCGCGCCAGCAGCCGC